ACUUCUGAUCACAGUCAAUGGGAUCGUUUUUCUCAGUUUUCCAAGGAUAAGCUUGACAAACUUAUUUCUGAAGGUACUUUACACCAUGAUGUUAUACGUUUUCAUUACUAUGUUCAGUACCAUCUAUAUAUACAAUUAUCUGAGGCAGCAACAUAUGCAA